UCCGGCAUUUUGAUCCCUAGUUUAGCUAGGGAUAGCUAGUUUACCUAGUUUAGUUAAGCAGGAAAAAAAUAGUAAUAACUCAUUUGAUUAUUUAAACCUAUCUAAACUCUCAGAAUCGGUUUUCGUUAUGGCGAUGGUUAUUAUCGUUGCAUUCAAUGUUCAAACUAAAUUACUCUUAUAUAGGUAUAAUAUCGUAAACGUUGUAUUGUAUAUUAAUUAUAUGUACAAUAAUUAUGAAUUAGUCGUUGGCAUAAAGUCAAAUCAGGCAUUUUGCUAAAUUUCUAGACGUUUAACUAAAUGCCGAUUUUAAGUCAGGCGAGUAAUGAAAAUAAAACGUUUUUAUAUUAUUUCAAAAACCUAAACUAUAAUUGCGCGUUAAUAUUAUUUAAUCAAACAAUUUAAAAAUAAAAUUUCCACAUUUUUUUUUACCUUUGAAAAGUAUUAUAACUUACUAUCUUAUCCGUGUUGAACACGGGACAAAUUAUAAUCUUGUCAAUAACGA